CACCACUCAGGCCCAGCCUGGCGUUGGGGCACUGCGUGCGAGCGCAGGCCCUCAAGAGCAGUGGCGAGCCGGCCGGGAACCCGAGCGUAGUAAUACUCUUCGCCCUGGGGGCCCGGGCGGACUCCGCCAUCAACAGAGGGACUCGCGUCCCUCCUUCUCAA
rnacentral:misc_RNA from 1 species